rnacentral:rRNA from 1 species
UACGGGGGGGGCAAGCGUUGUUCGGAAUUACUGGGCGUAAAGGGCGCGUAGGCGGCCUGCUAAGUCGGAUGUGAAAUCCCUCGGCUCAACCGAGGAACUGCAUCCGAUACUGGCGGGCUUGAAUCCGGGAGAGGGAUGUGGAAUUCCAGGUGUAGCGGUGAAAUGCGUAGAUAUCUGGAGGAACACCAAUGGCGAAGGCAGCUCUCUGGGACGGUACUGACGCUGAGACGCGAAAGCGUGGGGAGCGAACAGG